GGGAAAUGUGUGUGGGGUUUGGUGAGCCACCUCAACCCUUACAAGAUUAGGCUCA
rfam:Pan troglodytes isolate Yerkes chimp pedigree #C0471 (Clint) chromosome 18, whole genome shotgun sequence.